rnacentral:lncRNA from 10 species
GGACUUUCCUUCUUUCCAUGAGUGACUAUUUUUCUCUAGGUUGGGAUCGUUCUCUUUUCCAUUCAUUACUUCUUUUCUCUUGUAUAGCAUAUUUGCCUAGUUGUGCUUUUAUUGUUUUCAUAUUGUUUAUGCCUGCACCAUUCUGACAGGUAACUUCUUGAUCUCUUCCCAACAAUUUGUGACCAGGCUAUUUUGGGCCCGAGCUUAGAACUUCCACAGGGACAGUUCAGUCGGCUGCCUCACUGGGGACUUCCAUCCUGGCAGUGCCUGGGCUCCUCAGGAAGACAGUGGUCAGUUGAGUCCUUGCCAAGCCAGGCUGGCUUCGAGGAGGAGUGAUUGAGGCGAUUGUUUUCAGUGGCUUUGCGACAAGAUCCCACAUUCAGCCUGAUAAUGCAGACUCUUUCAAGCCAUCUUCCUGGCCCCACGGACAGCCCUGUGGACUUUAAGCUCCAGUGCCAGAUGGAAAGACAACAGCCUUGGGAGACUGCUUAACAAGCUCCCCAAAGGGUCAGAGCCUGGAAACAAUGUUCCUUCAAUCCUUUGCCAGCAGGGAUCUUCUUUAGUUUCUGCCAAUAAGGGCCACUGGUGUAAAAUUUGGAAACCAGACAAAGAGAAGCUGACUUUUGGCAAUGGCGUGAGACAUGGGCAUCAAUAAAGGCUGGGUGAGCUCUGCCAGUGGCUUUCAGGCGUGAGUCAUCUGUUCACACAGUUGAGAUCUGCAGUGGCUGUCCCUGCAGUCUCCACUUCCUGGAUUCCUGAAUGCUUCCGAAGCUUCCCUGACCUUGACUCUCUCCCCAACAGCUUCGUAAGCCUGUAAUCUCCUGCAUUAAUCUCCUCUCCAUUGAAGGACCUGGAGGGUUUCCAUUUUCCCAGGCAAACCCUGUCUGAGACGUAUCCCCACUAGCACUGCAUAAGAGCUCCCAGGGCCCCACCUCCUCACCACACAGUGCUUGUCAACCCUUCGGUCAGUUGCGGAAGUGAACAAUAGUAUCUCGUUGUAGUUUUAGUUUCAGAAUUGUGCGUGUAGAAUUGAUGUUUUGUUUGUAUGUUUAACAGCCAUUUGUAUUUUCUUUUUUAUAAACCAGGUUCGUAUCCUUUGAUUAUUUUUCUGUUGUGUUAUUGAUGGGUGUUGUCACCUACAUGGAUCAUACCUGUUAGCACACUUAAAAAUUUUUUUAAAAAAUAUCUUUUUAAAAAAUUAAUAAGAAAUAGCACUGUAUGACAUAAAUGGCAAAACUUUUCUCUGGUUUUCAGUUUGUCUUUUGACUUACUUUAUAUGUACUUCUUGACAUGAAGAUUAAAACAUUUUCAUGUAAUCCAACGUUUUUUCUUUUAUGGAUUUCUUUUUUUUUUGGAGACAGAGUCUCACCCUGUGGCCCAGGCUGGAGUGCAGUGGUAUGAUCUCGGCUCACUGCAACCUCUACUUCCCAGGUUCAAGCGAUUCUCA